ACAUCCUGAAAACAGAAUAUUUUAAUACUUUUUAUGGAGAAAAUGUAUAUUUUAUGAAUGAAACCUAAGUCCAUUACUUUGUGGUUGUUAAAAAUAAAAGGGAUUGUAACAGGCUAAAAGGCAGGAAGAGGAAUGUUAAGGCACAGUUGUGUUCCUUUUGCCUUUAGGAACAGAAACUGAACACACUUAGUUUAAGCACAAGGAAUGAGGAUAACUCAUAAUUUGGUCAAAAACCAAAGAUAGAUUUACAACUGAACAUCAGAGAAUGUCUCAAAAACACAGAGCAACGGACUCACAAAAAGAGACUUUAAGACAUUAGAAAAAAACUGGAUUGGGAGGCCAUCAAGCCCAAAGCAAACCUCUUCAGAGCCACAAAGGCCCCAGCAAUGACAGAAUACUGGGUCACUUCAAGUGCUUGUGGGGAAUGUGUGCAUGCAGUACUGCACAACACUAUUGUUGGAAAGUAAAUGCUGUGUUCACCCUAAAAAACAAUCUGGUAAUAUUCAGAAAAGUUCAGGUAAUACUCUUUUGAGGAAACAGUUAUGUUUAUGGGCACCUGCUUCAGGUAAAUUCUCCCACAGUUGCAUAGGGACAGUUAUGUGUGGUGAUAGGGCACAGCAGAAAUACAAAUGUCCACUGCAGGACAAUGGAGAGGUAGGGUGUGCUAAGGCACAUCAGAGGCUACUGUGUCAGAGUUCAAAACUGCAGGUGAAAUGUACAUAAAAAGAUCUUACUAACUCACAAAGAAGGGCUUUGAUUGUAGAUUAGCAGUAGAGGUCUUGCCUGGCAUGCAUGAGGCCCUGGGUACACUUCCUAAU
rnacentral:lncRNA from 1 species